UACGUAGGUGGCGAGCGUUGUCCGGAUUUACUGGGCGUAAAGAGCGCGCAGGCGGUCGUUCAAGUCGCGUGUGAAAGCCCCCGGCUCAACUGGGGAGGGUCAUUCGAUACUGUUCGACUCGAAGGCAGGAGAGGGAAGUGGAAUUCCCGGUGUAGCGGUGAAAUGCGCAGAUAUCGGGAGGAACACCGGUGGCGAAGGCGGUUCUCUGGGCCUGUACUGACGCUGAGGAGCGAAAGCGUGGGGAGCGAACAGG
rnacentral:rRNA from 1 species